CAGUCGCCGCGGGAAAACGUAGGUGGCAAGCGUUGUCCGGAAUUAUUGGGCGUAAAGGGAGCGCAGGCGGACAUAUAAGUCCAUCUUAAAAGUGCGGGGCUCAACCCCGUGAGGGGAUGGAAACUGUAUGCCUUGAGUGCAGGAGAGGAAAGCGGAAUUCCCAGUGUAGCGGUGAAAUGCGUAGAUAUUGGGAGGAACACCAGUGGCGAAGGCGGCUUUCUGGACUGCAACUGACGCUGAGGCUCGAAAGCCAGGGGAGCGAACGGGAUUAGAUACCCCUGUAGUCCCUGUCUCUUAUACA
rnacentral:rRNA from 1 species